GAAACAGUGAAAGUAGGGGCUCUUAUUCUCAGAGACACAGACAGAGUGAAGUGUCAGACGGUGUUCUUCUGCAGUUUAACAACUUUUCUGCAUCAGGAUCAAAGUCAGAAUGAAAAUCUUUCAUGUUCUCUUCUUCUGCUUCUUGUCAGGUCCAGCUGUGCUCGUCAAGGCAAAACAUAAUAUUUGGUCUGCAGCUGAAGGAGUAAAUGGCACACUUAACUGCAACUUAACUUUGUCUGGAAGCACAAAGUUCUUCUGUAAGGAAAAAUGUGAGCGAGCAGAAGAUAUCCUCAUUAAAACAGAUGGAAGCACAGCUCAGAGUGGGAGAUUCAGCAUUAAAUAUAAAGAUGGAUCUUCAGGAAGAGGAAUUGUGUUUUUGACCUUCACACACAUGAUCAAAUCUGACUCAGGACUGUACAGGUGUGCUUUUGGAAACUCUUCUCCAGAUUCAUACUAUGACUUUGAGGUCAGAGUUUCAAAUGAUCUGGAUAAAAACAUUGGUCUUUAUCACACAGAAAUGAAGGGAGAAAACAUCAAAUUAGUAUGUUCAAUUAAUGCGUACGGACAGAGGAAGUUCUUUUGUAAGAAUCAGUGUAAGAAUAAAGGGGAGAUCCUCAUUGACACAACUAAUAACAAAGCUGUGAGUGGCAGAUACAGCAUUGAAUACACAGCAGGAUCCAUGUAUGGACUGUAUGCAACCAUCACACAGCUGACCAAGUCAGACACAGGAUUGUACAUCUGUGGUUAUGGAAACCCUCUGUCUCCAGAUUCAUACGAGAGUGAAUAUGUUCUUGUCAGUGAUGCAACAACACAGAGUGAAAGUGUCACUGCAGGAGUCUCUACACAUGGUCCUGACUCCUCCUGGCUUCUGGUUGUGCGUGCGUCCUUGGAUGGUGUUUUGCUGAUGGCUGUUUUCCUCAUGCUCUUCUACAUUAGUAAGACAAGGAGGAACUUUGGACUGAACACCAGAGAAAAUGACACAAACAUGGAGUUAUCUGUCGGGUAUGAGAACUUUGAUCCAACCUCCAAACACGAAGAGUCCAAAAGCAGCAGGACCAAACCUACUCUGCAUUAUUAAAGACCAAAAUCUAAAAAGUAAAAAUUAAUUUUGGCCAUCUACUCUCUGAGGUUAUCUCCUCUUCCACACCUG
ensembl:lncRNA